rnacentral:rRNA from 1 species
UCAAACUUUAUAUGAGAGUUUGAUCCUGGCUCAGGACGAACGCUGGCGGCGUGCCUAAUACAUGCAAGUAGGACGCACAGUUUAUACCGUAGCUUGCUACACCAUAGACUGUGAGUUGCGAACGGGUGAGUAACGCGUAGGUAACCUGCCUAUUAGAGGGGGAUAACUAUUGGAAACGAUAGCUAAUACCGCAUAACAGUAUGUAACACAUGUUAGAUGCUUGAAAGAUGCAAUUGCAUCGCUAGUAGAUGGACCUGCGUUGUAUUAGCUAGUAGGUAGGGUAAUGGCCUACCUAGGCGACGAUACAUAGCCGACCUGAGAGGGUGAUCGGCCACACUGGGACUGAGACACGGCCCAGACUCCUACGGGAGGCAGCAGUAGGGAAUCUUCGGCAAUGGGGGGAACCCUGACCGAGCAACGCCGCGUGAGUGAAGAAGGUUUUCGGAUCGUAAAGCUCUGUUGUUAAGGAAGAACGAGUGUGAAAAUGGAAAGUUCAUACUGUGACGGUACUUAACCAGAAAGGGACGGCUAACUACGUGCCAGCAGCCGCGGUAAUACGUAGGUCCCGAGCGUUGUCCGGAUUUAUUGGGCGUAAAGCGAGCGCAGGCGGUUAGAAAAGUCUGAAGUGAAAGGCAGUGGCUCAACCAUUGUAGGCUUUGGAAACUGUUUAACUUGAGUGCAGAAGGGGAGAGUGGAAUUCCAUGUGUAGCGGUGAAAUGCGUAGAUAUAUGGAGGAACACCGGUGGCGAAAGCGGCUCUCUGGUCUGUAACUGACGCUGAGGCUCGAAAGCGUGGGGAGCGAACAGGAUUAGAUACCCUGGUAGUCCACGCCGUAAACGAUGAGUGCUAGGUGUUAGGUCCUUUCCGGGACUUAGUGCCGCAGCUAACGCAUUAAGCACUCCGCCUGGGGAGUACGACCGCAAGGUUGAAACUCAAAGGAAUUGACGGGGGCCCGCACAAGCGGUGGAGCAUGUGGUUUAAUUCGAAGCAACGCGAAGAACCUUACCAGGUCUUGACAUCCCGAUGCUAUUUCUAGAGAUAGGAAGUUUCUUCGGAACAUCGGUGACAGGUGGUGCAUGGUUGUCGUCAGCUCGUGUCGUGAGAUGUUGGGUUAAGUCCCGCAACGAGCGCAACCCUUAUUGUUAGUUGCCAUCAUUGAGUUGGGCACUCUAGCGAGACUGCCGGUAAUAAACCGGAGGAAGGUGGGGAUGACGUCAAAUCAUCAUGCCCCUUAUGACCUGGGCUACACACGUGCUACAAUGGCUGGUACAACGAGUCGCAAGCCGGUGACGGCAAGCUAAUCUCUGAAAGCCAGUCUCAGUUCGGAUUGUAGGCUGCAACUCGCCUACAUGAAGUCGGAAUCGCUAGUAAUCGCGGAUCAGCACGCCGCGGUGAAUACGUUCCCGGGCCUUGUACACACCGCCCGUCACACCACGAGAGUUUGUAACACCCGAAGUCGGUGAGGUAACCGUAAGGAGCCAGCCGCCUAAGGUGGGAUAGAUGAUUGGGGUGAAGUCGUAACAAGGUAGCCGUAUCGGAAGGUGCGGCUGGAUCACCUCCUUUCUAAGGAAAA